rnacentral:rRNA from 1 species
CCUACGGGGGGCUGCAGUGAGGAAUAUUGGUCAAUGGACGAGAGUCUGAACCAGCCAAGUAGCGUGAAGGAUGACUGCCCUAUGGGUUGUAAACUUCUUUUAUAUGGUAAUAAAAUGUUCCACGUGUGGGAUUUUGUAUGUACCAUAUGAAUAAGGAUCGGCUAACUCCGUGCCAGCAGCCGCGGUAAUACGGAGGAUCCGAGCGUUAUCCGGAUUUAUUGGGUUUAAAGGGAGCGUAGGUGGAUUGUUAAGUCAGUUGUGAAAGUUUGCGGCUCAACCGUAAAAUUGCAGUUGAAACUGGCAGUCUUGAGUACAGUAGAGGUGGGCGGAAUUCGUGGUGUAGCGGUGAAAUGCUUAGAUAUCACGAAGAACUCCGAUUGCGAAGGCAGUUCACUGGACUGCAACUGACACUGAGGCUCGAAAGUGUGGGUAUCAAACAGGAUUAGAUACCCUUGUAGUC